rnacentral:rRNA from 1 species
GUGCCAGCAGCCGCGGUAAUACGUAGGAUGCGAGCGUUGUUCGGAAUUACUGGGCGUAAAGAGCACGUAGGCGGGUUCGCAAGUCGAUUGUGAAAGCCCGAGGCUUAACUUCGGAAUUGCAGUCGAAACUGCGAGUCUUGAAUACCUGAGAGGGUGGCGGAAUUCCUGGUGUAGAUGUGAAAUUCGUAGAUAUCAGGAGGAACACCGGCGGCGAAGGCGGCUGCCUGGCAGUGUAUUGACGCUGAGGUGCGAAAGUGCGGGGAGCAAACAGGAUUAGAUACCCUGGUAGUCCGCACCAUAAACGAUGGAUACUAGGUGUUCGGAGUGUUAACCCUCUGAGUACCGAAGCUAACGCAUUAAGUAUCCCGCCUGGGGAGUACGGUCGCAAGGCUAAA